CACAGUCUAGCGAAAAUAAAACUGUUGGAAAUAAUGUAACUGCAUACAGCAAUGACUUGGAUAAUUUGGGAAAAAAAAAUUGUAACGAACGCCAAGCACAAAAAACGAAUCCAGCACAAAAAACGAAUCCAACACAAAAAACGAAUCCAGCACAAAAAACGAAUCCAACACAAAAAAUACCCCAAACACACAAACUAAAUAACAUACAAAAACUAUAUGCCACCCACCUAAGCAUCUAUUUUAUGGAUUCUUCAAAAAAUAAUAUAAAAGUGCUUAAGAACAAAAAAGAUAUAGAAGAAAGUAACAAAAUAAUAAAAAAAAUUUCAAGUGACAUAAAAAAGAUUUAUGAAUAUAUAAUGUCAGAUGAAGUUAUAUUUAUUAGUAAUAAAAUACCACUUUAUAUCGAUCAUAUAUUUUUUUGUUGUUGUUUAGAUUACACAAAUAUCAUUUCUUUAAAAAAUUUUAUACACAAUUUUAUCAAAACAUCUGUAGUACCAUAUAUAACUACUAUUACAUACGAUAUCAAUAAUAUUAUAUUAAAAAAUAAACGAAGCUUUAAAUAUCAAUUGAAAUUUAUAUGGAAGAAAACAAAACAAAAUUUUACUACUUCUGAUGCUGCUUUGUUUGUAGCUGAACAAACAAGUAAUGUUUUGUUUAAUGUAGCUCAAAAUGUUAUAGCAACUAAUAGUGAAAUGGUUUCUACUACAGUUCAGAGUGAAGACACACAAACGGAUGCAGGGGCAAAUGGUGUGACAAAUGGCGUGACAAAUGGUGUGACAAAUGGUGUGACAAAUGGCGUGACAAAUGGCGUGACAAAUGGUGUGACAAAUGGUGUGACAAAUGGCGUGACAAAUGGCGUGACAAAUGGUGUGACAAAUGGUGUGACAAAUGGUGUGACAAAUGGUGUAACAAAUGGUGUGACAAAUGGUGUGACAAAUGAUGUGACAAAUGGUGUGACAACUGACGUGACAAACGAAAAGACUAACCCUAAUGUAAUGUCCAAUAAUGUUAACACAAUGAUAAGACAAAAAUCAGAUGAUUAUGCCAUCAACUCACCAAAUAACUACACACAAAAUGUUCAUACAAAUAAUGACUUAGACAAAAAUAAACAAAAAAAAACGACCAAUGGCGAAAUAAACUAUAGUAAAGAUUCAAUGGAACAUAUGUACAAAACGUUAGGGGACAUUUAUUUUAUUUUAACUGAAUAUGAAUUGGCAUAUAAUGUACUAAAAAUAUGCAUAAAUGAAUUUAAAAAUGAUAAAAUGUACAUAUAUUUAGGU
rnacentral:lncRNA from 1 species